rnacentral:rRNA from 1 species
CGUUCCAGUUAGGCAGUUGGCGGGGUAACGGCCCACCAAACGGACGAUGGGUAGGGGUUCUGAGAGGAAGGUCCCCCACAUUGGUACUGAGACACGGACCAAACUCCUACGGGAGGCAGCAGUGAGGAAUAUUGGUCAAUGGGCGCGAGCCUGAACCAGCCAAGUCGCGUGAGGGAUGAAGGUUCUAUGGAUCGUAAACCUCUUUUAUAAGGGAAUAAAGUGCGGGACGUGUCCCGUUUUGUAUGUACCUUAUGAAUAAGGAUCGGCUAACUCCGUGCCAGCAGCCGCGGUAAUACGGAGGAUCCGAGCGUUAUCCGGAUUUAUUGGGUUUAAAGGGUGCGUAGGCGGCCUUUUAAGUCAGCGGUGAAAGUCUGUGGCUCAACCAUAGAAUUGCCGUUGAAACUGGGAGGCUUGAGUAUGUUUGAGGCAGGCGGAAUGCGUGGUGUAGCGGUGAAAUGCAUAGAUAUCACGCAGAACCCCGAUUGCGAAGGCAGCCUGCCAAGCCAUUACUGACGCUGAUGCACGAAAGCGUGGGGAUCAAACAGGAUUAGAUACCCUGGUAGUCCACGCAGUAAACGAUGAUCACUAGCUGUUUGCGAUACAUUGUAAGCGGCACAGCGAAAGCGUUAAGUGAUCCAC